UUGAAGAGUUUGAUCAUGGCUCAGAUUGAACGCUGGCGGCAGGCCUAACACAUGCAAGUCGAGCGGUAGCACAGAGAGCUUGCUCUCGGGUGACGAGCGGCGGACGGGUGAGUAAUGUCUGGGAAACUGCCUGAUGGAGGGGGAUAACUACUGGAAACGGUAGCUAAUACCGCAUAAUGUCGCAAGACCAAAGUGGGGGACCUUCGGGCCUCAUGCCAUCAGAUGUGCCCAGAUGGGAUUAGCUAGUAGGUGGGGUAACGGCUCACCUAGGCGACGAUCCCUAGCUGGUCUGAGAGGAUGACCAGCCACACUGGAACUGAGACACGGUCCAGACUCCUACGGGAGGCAGCAGUGGGGAAUAUUGCACAAUGGGCGCAAGCCUGAUGCAGCCAUGCCGCGUGUGUGAAGAAGGCCUUCGGGUUGUAAAGCACUUUCAGCGGGGAGGAAGGCGGUGAGGUUAAUAACCUCAUCGAUUGACGUUACCCGCAGAAGAAGCACCGGCUAACUCCGUGCCAGCAGCCGCGGUAAUACGGAGGGUGCAAGCGUUAAUCGGAAUUACUGGGCGUAAAGCGCACGCAGGCGGUCUGUCAAGUCGGAUGUGAAAUCCCCGGGCUUAACCUGGGAACUGCAUUCGAAACUGGCAGGCUAGAGUCUUGUAGAGGGGGGUAGAAUUCCAGGUGUAGCGGUGAAAUGCGUAGAGAUCUGGAGGAAUACCGGUGGCGAAGGCGGCCCCCUGGACAAAGACUGACGCUCAGGUGCGAAAGCGUGGGGAGCAAACAGGAUUAGAUACCCUGGUAGUCCACGCCGUAAACGAUGUCGAUUUGGAGGUUGUGCCCUUGAGGCGUGGCUUCCGGAGCUAACGCGUUAAAUCGACCGCCUGGGGAGUACGGCCGCAAGGUUAAAACUCAAAUGAAUUGACGGGGGGCCCGCACAAGCGGUGGAGCAUGUGGUUUAAUUCGAUGCAACGCGAAGAACCUUACCUGGUCUUGACAUCCACAGAACUUAGCAGAGAUGCUUUGGUGCCUUCGGGAACUGUGAGACAGGUGCUGCAUGGCUGUCGUCAGCUCGUGUUGUGAAAUGUUGGGUUAAGUCCCGCAACGAGCGCAACCCUUAUCCUUUGUUGCCAGCGGUUAGGCCGGGAACUCAAAGGAGACUGCCAGUGAUAAACUGGAGGAAGGUGGGGAUGACGUCAAGUCAUCAUGGCCCUUACGACCAGGGCUACACACGUGCUACAAUGGCAUAUACAAAGAGAAGCGACCUCGCGAGAGCAAGCGGACCUCAUAAAGUAUGUCGUAGUCCGGAUUGGAGUCUGCAACUCGACUCCAUGAAGUCGGAAUCGCUAGUAAUCGUAGAUCAGAAUGCUACGGUGAAUACGUUCCCGGGCCUUGUACACACCGCCCGUCACACCAUGGGAGUGGGUUGCAAAAGAAGUAGGUAGCUUAACCUUCGGGAGGGCGCUUACCACUUUGUGAUUCAUGACUGGGGUGAAGUCGUAACAAGGUAACCGUAGGGGAACCUGCGGUUGGAUCACCUCCUU
rnacentral:rRNA from 1 species